UACGUAGGGGGCUAGCGUUGUCCGGAAUCAUUGGGCGUAAAGCGCGUGUAGGCGGUCCGGUAAGUCCGCUGUGAAAGUCGGGGGCUCAACCCUCGAAUGCCGGUGGAUACUGUCGGGCUAGAGUGCGGAAGAGGCGGGCGGAAUUCCUGGUGUAGCGGUGAAAUGCGCAGAUAUCAGGAGGAACACCAAUUGCGAAGGCAGCUCGCUGGGACGUUACUGACGCUGAGACGCGAAAGCGUGGGGAGCAAACAGG
rnacentral:rRNA from 1 species